UACGUAGGGUGCAAGCGUUAAUCGGAAUUACUGGGCGUAAAGCGUGCGCAGGUGGUUUUGUAAGUCUGUCGUGAAAGCCCUGGGCUCAACCUGGGAAUUGCGAUGGAGACUGCAAGGCUUGAAUCUGGCAGAGGGGGGUAGAAUUCCACGUGUAGCAGUGAAAUGCGUAGAGAUGUGGAGGAACACCGAUGGCGAAGGCAGCCCCCUGGGUCAAGAUUGACGCUCAUGCACGAAAGCGUGGGGAGCAAACAGG
rnacentral:rRNA from 1 species